GGGCCCGUAGCUUAGUCUGGUGGAGCGACGGACUCAUAAUCCGUCGGUCGCCGGUUCAAAUCCGGCCGGGCCCA
rnacentral:tRNA from 2 species